ACAACAUGGACAUUCCAUCACUCUCUUUGGGUUCUGUCCUAGUGGCACAUGGGAGCAUAGGACACCACCAGGUGAUGUAAAGUCCCUUUCCACAAUGUAAGAGAUUAAGUUGGGCUUCUCUGAUCCUGAAUAUUCCUACAAAUUCUUAGAGUGCCUAGGAGGAUGACUGAAGAGGAAACCAUGCUGAAAACAAAA